AAUGGGCGCGAGCCUGAACCAGCCAAGUAGCGUGAAGGAUGACUGCCCUAUGGGUUGUAAACUUCUUUUAUAAAGGAAUAAAGUGGUCCACGUGUGGAUUUUUGUAUGUACUUUAUGAAUAAGGAUCGGCUAACUCCGUGCCAGCAGCCGCGGUAAUACGGAGGAUCCAAGCGUUAUCCGGAUUUAUUGGGUUUAAAGGGAGCGUAGAUGGAUUUUUAAGUCAGUUGUGAAAGUUCGGGGCUCAACCCCGUAAUUGCAGUUGAUACUGGAUAUCUUGAGUACAGUUGAGGUAGGCGGAAUUCGUGGUGUAGCGGUGAAAUGCUUAGGUGUCACGAAGAACUCCGAUUGCGAAGGCAGCUUACUAAGCUGUAACUGACAUUGAGGCUCGAAAGUGUGGGUAUCAAA
rnacentral:rRNA from 1 species